UGGGGCGUAGCCAAGCGGUAAGGCAUCGGGUUUUGAUCCCGUGAUCGUUGGUUCGAAUCCAGCCGCCCCAACCA
rnacentral:tRNA from 5 species